rnacentral:rRNA from 1 species
AACGAACGCUGGCGGCAGGCCUAACACAUGCAAGUCGAACGGGAUCUUCGGAUCUAGUGGCGGACGGGUGAGUAACGCGUGGGAACGUGCCCUUUGGUUCGGAACAGCCCCGGGAAACUGGGAGUAAUACCGGAUAAGCCCUACGGGGGAAAGAUUUAUUGCCAAAGGAUCGGCCCGCGUUGGAUUAGGUAGUUGGUGAGGUAAUGGCUCACAAAGCCGACGAUCCAUAGCGGGUUUGAGAGGAUGAACAGCCACACUGGGACUGAGACACGGCCUAGACUCCUACGGGAGGCGGCAGUGGGGAAUCUUAGACAAUGGGGGAAACCCUGAUCUAGCCAUGCCGCGUGAUCGAUGAAGGCCUUAGGGUUGUAAAGAUCUUUCAGUGGGGAAGAUAAUGACUGUACCCACAGAAGAAGCCCCGGCUAACUCCGUGCCAGCAGCCGCAGUAA